rnacentral:rRNA from 1 species
GGCGGCAGGCCUAACACAUGCAAGUCGAACGGUAACAGGAAGAAGCUUGCUUCUUUGCUGACGAGUGGCGGACGGGUGAGUAAUGUCUGGGAAACUGCCUGAUGGAGGGGGAUAACUACUGGAAACGGUAGCUAAUACCGCAUAACGUCGCAAGACCAAAGAGGGGGACCUUCGGGCCUCUUGCCAUCGGAUGUGCCCAGAUGGGAUUAGCUAGUAGGUGGGGUAAAGGCUCACCUAGGCGACGAUCCCUAGCUGGUCUGAGAGGAUGACCAGCCACACUGGAACUGAGACACGGUCCAGACUCCUACGGGAGGCAGCAGUGGGGAAUAUUGCACAAUGGGCGCAAGCCUGAUGCAGCCAUGCCGCGUGUAUGAAGAAGGCCUUCGGGUUGUAAAGUACUUUCAGCGGGGAGGAAGGGAGUAAAGUUAAUACCUUUGCUCAUUGACGUUACCCGCAGAAGAAGCACCGGCUAACUCCGUGCCAGCAGCCGCGGUAAUACGGAGGGUGCAAGCGUUAAUCGGAAUUACUGGGCGUAAAGCGCACGCAGGCGGUUUGUUAAGUCAGAUGUGAAAUCCCCGGGCUCAACCUGGGAACUGCAUCUGAUACUGGCAAGCUUGAGUCUCGUAGAGGGGGGUAGAAUUCCAGGUGUAGCGGUGAAAUGCGUAGAGAUCUGGAGGAAUACCGGUGGCGAAGGCGGCCCCCUGGACGAAGACUGACGCUCAGGUGCGAAAGCGUGGGGGGCAAACAGGAUUAGAUACCCUGGUAGUCCACGCCGUAAACGAUGUCGACUUGGAGGUUGUGCCCUUGAGGCGUGGCUUCCGGAGCUAACGCGUUAAGUCGACCGCCUGGGGAGUACGGCCGCAAGGUUAAAACUCAAAUGAAUUGACGGGGGCCCGCACAAGCGGUGGAGCAUGUGGUUUAAUUCGAUGCAACGCGAAGAACCUUACCUGGUCUUGACAUCCACAGAACUUUCCAGAGAUGGAUUGGUGCCUUCGGGAACUGUGAGACAGGUGCUGCAUGGCUGCCGUCAGCUCGUGUUGUGAAAUGUUGGGUUAAGUCCCGCAACGGGCGCAACCCUUAUCCUUUGUUGCCAGCGGUCCGGCCGGGAACUCAAAGGAGACUGCCAGUGAUAAACUGGAGGAAGGUGGGGAUGACGUCAAGUCAUCAUGGCCCUUACGACCAGGGCUACACACGUGCUACAAUGGCGCAUACAAAGAGAAGCGACCUCGCGAGAGCAAGCGGACCUCAUAAAGUGCGUCGUAGUCCGGAUUGGAGUCUGCAACUCGACUCCAUGAAGUCGGAAUCGCUAGUAAUCGUGGAUCAGAAUGCCACGGUGAAUACGUUCCCGGGCCUUGUACACACCGCCCGUCACACCAUGGGAGUGGGUUGCAAAAGAAGUAGGUAGCUUAACCUUCGGGAGGGCGCUUACCACUUUGUGAUUCAUGACUGGGGUGAAGUC